ensembl:lncRNA
GGUUAAUUAGGCAGGCUAAUAAACUGCCUAUAGCUUCAUUUAGGAAAGGAACUGUAUUUCAUCACCCAGAAAACAGUGCAGAACUUGGAGAAGAGGAGUGUUUUUAUUAGAAAGGCUGAAAUUCAGCUUCUGAUGAGAAAAGUUGACUCCAGGCAUGGUCUUCAGCCAGAGGUGCGUUGGGGAUGGAAGGAUUAAACAACCUGUAGUGCUUACACAAACCAGUGUUUUCCAAUGCCCAUCCCUGAAAUGGAAGUUGAGAAGUGGUUUAUCAGAAGUGGUUCCAUGCCUUGGUCCGUAACUCAGCUGGGCCGUGUGGCCUCUUUCAAUUCAGGAUGAGCACUUGGGCCACAUCUGCUUCUCUGUCUGGGUUUUGAUGUUCUCCGAUGUUCAGUGUCACUUUUUCCAAGUUUAAACCACACCAUCUCAUUAAUUCCAGCCCAAGAACAUCCCAAGCAGGGACCAAAUGGGAGGGAGAGGUCAAUGAAACCACUCUGAUGAGCUCCAACAGUGGAGAAAAAACACGCACCCACCACUGCUCUGAUGGCCGAGGCACCAGCAUAAAAAUAAAUCCUUCCUUGUCACAUUCCAGUAUAUUAGCAGUGACACUUAAUAACUUCUACUUAAUAGCCUCCAUAUUUGUGUGGGAAUCUAUGACAUGCUGAGGACUGGACACGCUUUCUGAGCACAUGCAGCGUGGUUGCCCCAUAUGUCGUGCAGCUUGCAAAAAAAGGAGAGAGACAAGCAAGAGAAACAUAUAUCUGGGAGAGAUAGAAUGUAAUUUUUAAUUGAACUUCAUGUUGUGGGUAAAAAUAGGGCUGACAGCUUUGAAGAUCAGGGUCUACUCUUUCUAUAGCAGAUAAAUGUACCAGAUGCUCGUGAGUAUGGCCAAAUCCUACCCUGGUGGAUUUUCUAAGGAUUGGAGAGGACUCCUCUCAGUGUGCAUCACAUCUCUACGUGUCAUGGUCCCCAAGGGGUGGUGAGCAAUGAGUCUCCUGUGCAGGUGAAGGUCCCCACGUGCCAUAAGCGUGGGCUUCGUCAACCCCAUGCAGCCCCGCUCAGAUGCAUUUCCAUUGCUGGUUGUAUUUCUGGCUCUGCUCAUCGAGUAAUUAAAAACACUCAUUUGGAAAACAACAAAAACAAACAGACUAGAAAUCAGUCAAACCUCAUCAGUCAAGACUGCACUGAAGCAACCCGCAGCUACGACCACAGAAAGGCUUUGAUUCCCAGCUUGUCACCCUAGGUUUGAGGUGAAAAGGAAUCAUCAUCCCCAUGUAGAAUUUAUUACCAUUUUCUGGGGAGCCAGAAACCCCUUUUGCUUAAAUCUCAGUGCAUUUUUCCUUUCUGCAAGGAAGCAGAAUAAGGUGUCCCACACAUCUCCAUGUCCCAGAGACCACCACACAAAACCAUAUUCAUAGAAUCAUAAAAUCACUGAAUCGUAGAAUAAUUAAGAUUGGAAAAGACCUCUGAAAUCAUCCAGUCUAAGUGUCCACCUACCACCAAUAUUGCCCACUAAGCCAUUUCCCUAAAUAUUGCCACUUUCCACCCAAAUCUGAUUUUCCCAGGGAUAAUUCAGUCACCUAAGCCCUACACAUGCAGCUUCAUCCUCUUAAAUCUCCUUCCUAUAUAACAAAUAGAUGAGGCUAGAAAUACUGGAAAUGGAAAUGGUGUGGGGGGGGACAUGUUCAGACAUGUUGACUCAAAGGUCUUUCUUCAAAAUCUUUCUAAUUGGGCAUUUACCUAAGCUGCAGUCCCUGCCACACAAAGCCUUUGCUUAGAGCAGUGCAUGCAGCGAGACAAUUGCCUUUUUAUUUUGCUGGUUAUUAUUCCUCACUGGAAAUAGGAAGGAAAAAAAAAAAAGAAAAAGAAAAAGAAAGCUAUCACUCUGGAUUUUUUUAUCAGGUUUCAGCCACUCUGGAUGAUGUUCAAUAAAAGAAAAGCUAUCUCUGUUAGAGAUGAGUAGCCCUUUACAGAACAGUCAUUGCCUACCAAGUAACCUUUAAGCACCUGACUGUCUCUUAAGUUAAUGUAGGUAGAGGAUGGAGAGGAAGAUACAGUCACUUCUGUGUGUUUGAAAAACACAGCUGUUUCUCAUAAAAUUCAGCAGCCAGACAUACAUGCACUGAUUGGUUUUGUUGAUGCUGUUGUUUUCAGUUUUCAUGAAAUCACUAUCCAUCACCUUCCUCACACCCAGCUGAACCGUCAGGUCCCCAUGCAUGCUGCAGGAGAAGCAGAGUCAGGCAUGCUUCAGAGACCCGGCAUAGUGUCCUCUUCCCACCAGGAGAGCUCAGAAGAAGCCAGAAGGUCACAAGUGAUGUUCUCAGCAGCAAAACUGGGCUGUCAGUCAGGCUGCACGGACCUCCACUGGAGAACCACGCUCUGGUGCAACACACAUCUCCAGGCAGCCUUGUCUUACCAGGGUGGGAAUUGGGGUCUCCAUGUUGGACUCAAUGAUUCUUAUGGUCCCUUCUGACUUGGGAUAUUCUAUGAUAUUCUGCGUGUCUGUACCUACAGGUGCAUCAUAUACCUCUCCUAGGCUCUCCUACAGCAUCUACCCUGGCAAGAGAAGUGCACAGCCAAGCUGCAGGGACAGAGUUUGGAUAAGUCCUUAUGGCAGAGCCCUUGGAGACACUUUGGAGUUACAACCCAAGGUGCCCACAAACUUGCAUGACAAAGCCUUUGCAAAAGUGACAUGUUGUCACCAGGCUUAGGGAGGGCAGCAUACAGGGUUCAGAUCUCCAGGAUAGCCAAGGAAGACUUGCUGCCUCCUCCAUGCACCCCAAUUCCUAGAGGAUCCGAACCACAUCAGCAGGGAAGAAACUCCCGUGGCUUUGCUGGUAUGGCUCUAUGAAGAGUGGGGAGUUCCGGAGGAAACCUCAGCACUUCAAACGUGACCUGAUCCACGGCUGCACCCCAUGUUGAGAGGUUCAGGAUUUAAGGUCCCCCCGGCACCCAUGGCACAAGUGACAAGCAGCUGUCAGCAGCUCAGGGGGGUCUCCAGCUGCCUGCAAAUUUCCACAUUAAAGCUGUAAGCUUUCAUGCUUCACUUGGGACCAAUAAAACAGGAUAGGGUAGAGGCUGCUGUGAUAAAUGGGGCAUAAAUCACACCUUCCCCCUCUCCUUCCCCUUCCUUGUGGGGAGGUGGUACUGCCAGAGCCUCCACAGGCCCCGCUUCAAUAUGCUCAGACAGGUCCUCUUCUGCCUGUGCAGUCAAUUAGAACUUCAUCAGAAAUCAAUUUGCGAGGCCCAGCUGAGAUGUACCUAUAGAUCAGCCAAUGCCAAGUGAUUAUUACACUAAUGGAAUAUUCCAUUGAUUAAUUGAAUAUUUAAGUCCUGAAAUGUAAGCCCCACUGUCUUAUCUGCGGCUUGUUACCGAGCUGUGCAGCAGAGAUACUGCACUGGUGCAUGGAGCUAACCUUGAGUCUGGUAUUUUUGGGGUGAAAUGCAGAGGUUUUGGUUCUGGUCACACAGGAGACAUUUUGGCAGCAAGAAUCAUGUUCUGCAUGGAGGGCUUGACCACUUCAUAGAAACACAGAAUCAUAGAAUAACCUAAGUUGGAAGGGACCCAUAAGGAUCAUCAAGUCCCAAAAAUCAGACCAUAUGGCUGAGAUCAUUGCCUGCCCCUCCCUUCCCCUGUGGGGAAGCUGUAGGCUGCCAUAAGGGGACUGCAGGCCAUGAGUGGGCUGUAUGCUGCCAUGAGGGGGAUGUAGGCCAUGAGGAAGCUGUAGGUUGCCAUGGUGGGGAUGUAGGCCAUGAGGAAGCUGUAGGUUGCCAUGGUGGGGAUGUAGGCCAUGAGGAAGCUGUAGGCUGCCAUGGGGGGGAUGUAGGCCAUGAGGAAGCUGUAGGCCAUGAGGGGACCGUAGGCUGCCGUGCAGCCUCCCUUUCCCUGGGCUGAGCAAACCAAAGGACUUCAGCAGUGUUUGUGUUCCCCAAAUCUGGGCAGGAAAUCCUCAGUGAUUUAUUCCCAUUGUCACACACGAGCAGAUGUCAGGACUGCAGAGCACAGUGAGAAGAUCAGCCAAGGGUUUCCCAUCUGCUCUGCCCGUGGCCCCAGUGCUUUUCUACACCAAAAAAAAAAACCCAGGUGUGCGGAGGGCAGAGGCCUCCUGCAUGGGAUUCUGGAUUCACCGCAUGGAGAAGGCUGGGUUACUUGCUCAGGGGAACACCUGUUUAAGUGCUUUGUUGGACAAAGGCCAUAACAACCGAGAGAGAAAUGAGGUGGAGAUGGGGAAAAGGGAGGGAUGGUGUCAGCAGGUGGAGGUGUGCCGCAGCUGGAGGUAUCGCUGAGGGCACAGCGGGGUGGUUAGGAAUAUUACCCCUGAAUUGUAUUGCGUGAUUAACUCAGUGGAGAGUCAUUAAGUGCAUGAGUGAGAGAGAGGAGUCAUGUCCUCUCUGCAGAGCUCCUGCUCUCUCACCACGAGGUGAGGCCUUCUUCCCCCUUGCCCACACCCAGACCCUGCGAGCUGGCUGCUGGAAGAAGCCAUCAGGUCUGGGAAGGUGACCAACCGUGGCACAUGUCCAAAUGAGUCACAGAAUCCCAGAAUUGUUUGAGUUGGAAGGGAUGUUUAAAGGUCAUCUAGUCCAGCUCCCCUGCAAUGAACAGAGGCACCCACAGCUGAGCACAUCAGGGGCUCAGAGCCCCAUCCAACCCCAUCCCCUGGCUGAAGGGAACAUGUCCGGACAAGCCCCGUGCUUUGCUUCUGACUGGAGAAUAUCAGCUGUUCCCUCUGCGCCCAGCUUCACAGCUGACUUUGCAUUGCCCUGAUCAUCACUAGGGUCUCCUCACCUCCUCUAUUGCUCUCAAAGUCUAUUGGGGUCUUUGGACUGAGCUCUUAGUUUAAGACUGAGCUUUGGACUUAGCUGCUGUCAUGGGAAGCUGCAUUUUUUUUCUUCUUUAUGUAUGUUUUCCUGAACAGGAAGGUAAAAAUAAAUGGAGAGAAAAAACAAGUAUUGAUGGAACAGCUAGGAGGGAGAAGAGAGCUUUUUGUCUCACUGAGAAAUCUGACCUUUCAGAGGUAGCUUCAAGAAACCUCAAGGAAACGUGCUUUGCUGGCAUUUGCUGCAGGUGAUUCACUGGGAGUUUUCAUCCCCUCUUUCAGAAGAUAAUGUUUAGACUUUUAUUAACUUGCAAGCUCUGGGUGCCUUGGAGACCUGAGGAGCACAGAAACUCCCAGUUGGUGAGAUCAGGCUGUGCCUUUGCACAGAAAUCCUGGUUCUCAGGCUUUUCUGAAGCCUAUUCAGCAAACCCACCUUCCCUCAUGCGUGGAUACCAAGGCUGCAAUGCCAAUUAUCUUUGCAUGCCCCGAGGCUCCUUUGACCUCUCCUUAGCCAGAUGGAUGUGGGAAUCACACAGCAAAGGCAGCAUCAGGACACAUGCUGGGGGAGGCAUGAAGUCAUCCAGACAUGGCCUCCAUCUCCUGCAGCGCAGGGAGAAGGAAUUCCUUUGGUGAGCCCCGAAACAUGGCCCCAGGGACAGGAGGUAGCACAGGACUCAGCCGUGCUGAAUACCUGGUGCCCGGGGAACCUGAGCUUCAAAGCAACCAGACGGGAAGAAAAAUGGAGGCAGCCAAACCAUGGCAUGAAUCGCAGAGAGAGUUCAGACUGAUAAAUAUUUCAGACUGACAGCUAUUCCUGUCCUUGGAAGUUCAUUCAUCAGAAUCUUAGCAAGGCCUCCACUACCCAGGACCAUAAAUACUGAGGCCUAUUUUAAUGACAGCUUUUGGCGUGGCUAAUACCAAAAGUAUGGCAGCCUGUUACAGUUCAACCUCCAUCCUCGGCUGCUUCAGCGUAAUUUAUUGCACCUGUAAAGGCUAUAUUCAAAUACACGCCUGUUGUAAUUACAGCCCCUGGCUGUGUGGGAUCCACCUGUGAGUUGAUUGUACCUUGUUUUGAUAAGAUGCUAGACAAUGACAACAAUAUAGAAACAAUAGCAGCCAUUAGUAUCUCAGCGAUACACACAGUCCCCAUGUCACACAAAAGGAGAGUUUUACUGUCUAUACGUGGGGGGAAAUUUUGACCCAAGUCAGGAAAACUGCUGUCAGGAGGGUAGGAAAAUGGGAAACCUGCAGCUCUGCUUCUCUCCCCUCUUCUGCACCGAUGCUCUGCCGUCCCAGCAUCACAGCUGGCAGGCAGCUCCUAUUUCUCUCCAAGCCUCAGAUCCUUGUAGAACUUCACGGUUGGCUUCUGGAGAAUAUUUGAUAGUCUUCUUAAAUUAGCCCUAAAUGGUUGGGUUGACCCGAAUACUUCAGUAGGAAGGAACUGGAGCCCUCCCCCGAAACACCUCCCUCCCUGUCAGUGAUGGCCUAUAAUGACACAGGAGAAAUUUGCUCUGCUCCUUUCUGUGCCGUGAACAAAUUCAGCCUUUGAACUCUUAGCACCAGCCCCAGUGCUAAGCAGCCUCUGCUCCCACCUCCAUGCACCAUCUUGGUCUCGAGCUCUCCAAGCACAGCCCUCUCCUACUGGGCGCUCCCCAGCACGUUUCAUUCAUGAAUUAAGUCCCUGACAGCCCAUAUCUCUAUGAUCAAUAUGUUUGUUUAUUAGCAGCAGCUGCUGUGUUUUAGCAAAACGGGAGGGCUCCAGCAGGAGCAGCGCGCUCUAACCGCAGAGCAGGCUUGGGAUGGGGAGAAGGACCUCCUGCUGGCAAAUGGGAGCUGGGUGGGAUAAGAUUUCACGCUAAUGACCCUUUAAUUGAAAUCACUGCUCAGGACAGAUUGCUCAUCUUGGGGAUAUCUGUGCUGAUGGCUCCCGGUUUGGCCGCUCCUGAGACCAAUCCAUUAACUCAGUAGCGAUGAACAAAAGCUAAGAGGGAGAGCAAGAGUCUGUCCAUCACUAGCACAGCUGAUCUGCACCCCAAGGCAGCCCCAGCCAGCAGCUGGUGUAAAUGGAGCCCUGCACAAAGGGUAUGGCAAGGGCUGUGGCAGCCCAGUGACUACCACUGGCACCUGGGCUUCUUAGAAUUAGGCAGCUCUGCUGGGCCUGUUUGCGGAGAUGCUGAUGUGUGUCUCUUGCAAUGCAAAGAGAAGCCUGAGUGCACAGAAAGGAAGGUUACGAACCUGCUUUGAAUGCAUUUAUUAUUCCCAUUAAUUACAAUGCCUGCUAAAGAGGACCAGCUGUUCUAGGAGGCUGUGGUACCAAUUUAUCAGGAGAAGAUUCCAACAGAAGUUGCAGAGUUUUCCUCUGAACUUGGGAGGAUGGAAGAUGGAGGUUUUUUAAUUAGAACUUGUUAUUAAUGGGAACGUAGCAAAUUAAAAAUAGUCUCCCUCCCCUCUCCCUAUUACAUGAAGCUCUGAUCUCAAUUAGAAAGAUCAGAGACUAACCAUUGAAUGGGAAUUACUGAGAUGAAAACUGAUUGAAAGACAAAAACCAAAGACAGAGGCAUCGUGGGGAGAGAACAGAGAUAGAAAACAAUGAGCAGAGGCUGUCAGAGGCUGUGUGCCACAGUCAGGUGGCAGAGGCUCAGCCAGGCAGGGUGGCUUUCUGCCUUAGCCCAUAGUGAGAACACCUGGUCUCACCUGGCGCUGUGUUGGAUGGUUCUUUCAGGGCUGGGGUCAGGUUAGGAAAGGUGCAGUGGGGUCUGAGCAGACCUAUCUCCUGUGUGACAAUCUUGGCUAAUGACUUCCCAAUGAGAACCUCAUCUGCUGCCCUUCGGUCACCUGCAGACCAAGUCCCUGUCUUCCUUGCAACAGAUAAUCCAUGGCAUAUUCCAGGGCAGGCAGGGACCUUAGGCUGAAAUUACAGCCUUGCUUACUAAUUGCUGCAUGUUCUCUCUCCGUAGGUAUAUCAUUGCCAGCAAUUAGCACAAAAUCCUUUCCCACUCUUGUUAAGUUCCUGUGCUGCAGUUAAAUACUCCCAGAUCCCAUUUAAAUGAUUUCAAAUGCAAUUCAUUCUGGCUCGUUAAAUAAUUCCACAGCAGUGUUUGUCGUCUUCUCUCUCUGUUUUCCAACAGCCACUUUCUCCCAGAAAGAAUAUGAUGACUAAAGAAUGGGAAGGGGAAGUGAGAUGUAAACUGAGAAAUUUGAGGUCCAUCCUCUCUGCCUAUAUUUUUACUUCUUUCUUCCUCCUCUUCUCCAGCUGUGACUUCUCCCAGUAGAUGGGCCUUAUGGGGGUCCAUAUGACACAAUUUCUGUUGGUUUCACCAACUCAGUGAGGUGGUGGCUUCAAUGUGCGCUCCCUGAGGCAUGGGGUCCACCAUCUGUUUGCAAGGAAUCAUCAAAAAAGUUGCAAAGAAAAGCAAUUUCCUUUCUGCCACUCAGCAGUCUACGACAGUGUUCCCAUUGGAAGAUUUGUAGUGGUCCUUGGGUUGAUGAAGCUGAAAGCCACUGUGCUGUAUGUAUUAAUGCAGAAGGGGCGAGAACAAGCGAGCAUCAUCAACAGAAGGGCAGCUCCUGCAGGGAGGGAAGAUGUGCAUGUGGGCAGAGGCAUUCACAGGCUGCAGCCUGGCUGUGUGCUUCAUCAGGCUUGCUUGAGUGUUUCAGAAUGGCACGGAUGAACUCCAGCCACUUCGUUGCCAGGGUGGAGCGUGUGGCAUGGAGUGUGAUCCUCCUGGAAGGCUUUGAUGAAAAAUGUGAGCUCAGUUGGAAGGGAAGGAGAUGAAAGCAAAUUUCACAAAUGUCACAAGAGUUUUCACAGCAAAGUUAGCUGCUGGAAAUUAACUGCCAUCGCCACAAACCGCAGGCUGGGAUCCUAUUCCCAGGCAUUGGAAGGAUGGUCCUGAAAAACACCUCUAAAAUAAGUGGGGCAAUGGAAAGGAAAUCUCUGCCUGAAAAAUGUGUGCCCCCAUCUGUUAAACAAUAUUCAGGUGCUUCUGCAUUUACGCUUCCUCCAUACUUAAGCAGCGAUGGCUUUCAAAGGCAGAUUGCCUAUGUGAAGAACAGAUGGAGGGAGCAAUCCUCCCAUCCAAGCUCUGCACCAGAACUGAAGAAGUUUGUAAUCUGCUUCUUGUUCACAGAGCCAAGGCUUCAAACACAGCCCCUCUGCUCCAACAUGCUGGGUAGCUCAGGAGCCCGCAUACUCUUGGUUUUCCUCGUCCUUCUCUGCAGGCUUUUCUGCUGAGCGCUAUUUUGUGAAGGCAGCAAUGGUGUCCAGAAUGUGUUCUGCAAGGGCAAAGGUAAAAGGGCACCCAAGCCCAAAUUUCCUGCUUCCCCAUAGUGAGAGGAGAGAACUUUGUCCAUGAGCUGGUGAGUGAAGCCUCGUGGCUGCCUGCACGCUGCCCCAGCUUUUCAUCAGCACCAAAUUUGCAGCAAAAUAGGAAAAGUCAUUUCAUGAAAGCAAAAUAAUACCCGGUCGUACCAACAUCUCAGCUCUCAAUCUCUGUUUUCUAUAUCUCUGUUGAUGUUCAAAGGAAAACAAUGUGAUUGUUAAUUACAAACUGCUUUGAAUGCAUGCAAGGAAGCAGUUCAGCGCAGAGCCAGUCGGAAGCAGGAAAGCUGAGGAUACAGCAUGUGCCGAACUGCUUUAAAGGGCAGCAAGUUCCAUUGUAAUGAAUGCUGAUGCAAUCAUUGUACCAGACACAAAGUGGAAGUGUUACCUUGUGCAGCUCCCCACUGUUCUCUAUCUAUGGGGUUUUGCUUUGGACUGGAUGGAAAAGACUGAAAUACCAGGGGAGUGCUUUGCAUUUCAAAGAAGUUAAUGCGUAAGUGAUGUUGUGAUUCAUUAGCUCUCUACCAGUGCAUUGGUGUCCCAGGGUCGACAGGUACACUGGCAGCCCAAUGGUCUUCACAGUCCAGCCCACCAUGGGGAAAGCAAUCAGCAACCUGAUGAUAUAGGCAAUGGAAGAGGGUCUGGAUACAAUAAAAAGGUAACAUACAUAUAAGCAAGAAGCACACACAGUGUCCCUGUGUGUACUGGGCAAGUCAAGAACAGGCUUAAAUGCAGAUGCAUGGACACGUGUGACAUGAGAACACAGAGCAGAUCCUGGCAGCAGCUCAUGGUGCAAGGAUGCUCCCUGGGCAUCCCUCCCAUCCAUUCUCAUGGCACAGUCCUGACUUACAUGCGGUUGGAGGCUACAGCAGAACCAGCAGCUGAUGAAUACAAGGAGAAGGCUUUGCACUCCCACCAGCCCUGGAAAUAGGGCAGCUGCUGUUUUGUUGCUGGCUGGACUGAGGCUUAUUUGCAAGGAAGGAGAUGGUGUUCUGUGGUUGAUCUCUCCUCCAGUCUGCUGCCAACACAAUCUGCAGAACUUCAAAGCUGCAAAUAGGGAAGUGGCUGUUAAACAGCACUCAUCUCAGGGCUGAGCUUCGUGUUUCUCAACCAGGAGUGUGCAGUGGUCCUGAGCCAGGCAGAGAAUGGCUCUGGGGACAUCCCCAGGGAACACCUCUAGGGAGGCCUCUCCCCAGCCCCCAGAUGCAUCUCACUGCCUCGUGGGCAGCCCAUCUCCUCCAGCCUCACUCUCCCCGCCAGGCUCCAUCUACUGAAAAAAGGAUGCUCAGAAAGUUCACAGCUCCAUCCCAGGGGAAGCAUUUCAGCAGCUCUGCUUCCUGUGCACCCACACCGUUUCCCCCUCUCUGGGUCCUUCUAGUUGGAUUUUCCCACAUGCCCAGCCCGAGAACACUGCCUGAGCCCACUGCCAUCAUUUCAGCCCCUACCACAUGCAGAGGGAUGGUCGUUGGCUCCGCACUGUGGCUGCGCUCCUCCUCCUCCUCUUCUGCUUGCAGCCUUCUUCCUACAGAACAGUGACUAAUGCUGCUCCUCCACGCAGUGCAUCAUCCCGCGGGGGCGUGCGAGGGUGAGGAGCGAGCGCGGGUGGAGGAAGUGGGGAGCACAGGUGCCAAACGUGAGACAGCACCAGGGGACAGCAGCGGAGCUGGGGACGUGGAGAGGUGGCACUCGGCAGCAGGAUGUCAUCACCAGGGUCUUGUGCAUAUGAUUGACCUGGAGGAGCUGUGGGUGCACGGGGAGGGCUGCACUGAUGCGCUGCCCUGUUGGCAUCACACAAGAAGAAGUGACGGGGCAGCGAGAAAAGAGACCUUUUGCCAUCGUCCCCACUUGUCACAGUGCCAAAAGAAAGCUGCAGUGCUUUUAAACAAGCCGGCUUAACACGGCUCUGCUCUCCAGGCACAAGGGGGUGGUUUCUUUUACCGCCGCUUAAGAGCGGAGGAAGACGUGAGGGCUGACUGCAGGGCCGGCAUCCCUGUGGGGCCCGGCGCCCGCAUUGCCAACCACAGCCCUGUGAGCCUGGAGUAAUGGCCUAAAUGGGGGGAGAAAGCAGAGUGCAUUGCUAAUGGCAGUGGAGCAGGCAGCUGCCUGCUGCUCAGCCUCUCCUCCUCCUCCCUUCAUCAGAAUCCUGCACAAAGAGAACUGAAAGGGAUGGGGAUAAGGUGGGGUUAUGGAUAAGGAUGAGAAUGAGAACAAAGAUGGGGAUAUGAGUGGGGGUAUAGGUAGAGAUGGAGUUGGGAAUAGGAAUGGGGUUAUGGGUAGAAAUGAGGAUGAGGAAGAAGAUGGAGUUAUGGAUGGGAAUAAAACUAAGGAUAGAGAGGGAGGUAAGGUUAUGGAUGGGGAAGGGGAUGGGGUUAUGGAUGGUGACGGAGGUAGGAGUAGGAUGGGAAGGGUAAUAUGAAUGAGGAUGGAGAUGAGGAAGCCCCUCCUCUCACCUCACAUCCUUCCAGGGAGGGUUCUCCAAUGUGGUGCUUAGGGGCAAAUCCCUGCCCUCGCCCCAUCCAGCCAAGCCAGGAUGCAGUGGUAUGGAGGAAGCAGGAUUCAGCUUCUACAGCCAGCUCUGAGACCGGGAGAUGUCAGUUUCAACAUUCACAGCCUCGGUCCUCACUUUAAUCAGCAGCAUGUCACCUUCAAAGAGGACAGGGAUGGAUGCAGAGCAGAGAGAGCAGAGAUUCUUUGCCCAGAUCCUGCCCAGAUCUCACCAGAAACAUGCUAUGGGACAAUAAAGAUAGAUUUAAAUAUGCUGAAAGCGUUCAGGGCUCUGUUUGCAAAGUUUCAAGAUGCAGCAGUUAGCAAAUAUUGAAGCAGCAGGUGAGCAUCAGCCUUGACUUAGAAGAUUUCUCACAACUGAGAAUCCCAACCUCCAGCCCUACCACCAACCCAGUGACUGCAGGAGGCAUGACCCCACUGUGGUGGGGAGUUGUCUUACAAACCUUCUCCAUUAGCAGCAAGAGAGAAUCCCAGCAGCAGGUUUCAUAGGCGGUCCUGAGCAGUUCUGGGCACCUGUUUGUCUCAGCAGUACAGUUCACAAGGCACCUCCAGCCACAGAAACGGAUGAGAGAAGCAACCAAUCCUCAGUCCUUGGCAUAAAAGCUCUAUAAAGGAGGAACGGGAGCACCUUAACUCAAGUGGCAGCAGUCCCCAGGGCCCUGGCCCUAUGUCAUCCCACCCUCAGCUGGCCCAUGCCUUCACCCAUCGCAUGAGUAUGGGCUUUCUCAUCCAUCCCUCAUUGGGAUGUCAGGGCUUUCAGCAGCUGCUGCACCACAAGGUGCUCUCCCACCUCCAACACGAAGGUCUGUGCUCCACGAGAGCCCAUCAGGACCAGGCAGAGGUUUGGUGCUGAAGCCUGCAUCUCCUCAGAGGAUCGGGCAUCUCUGCUCACAGCAGCAUGACUGCAGGGCUUUGUCAGCUGAUGAUACGAGGCUGAAAUGAAGACAAAUGAGAGUA